CCAAAAUGGUGGGAGGGAGAACUGAUUGGCUCAGAUGAGAUCACAAAUGUACCCCUUCUGCCGCAACAGAGCAGCAAGAGAGAUCUAUCAUAAAGAGCAACCCAAGUCCUGCCAGCUUCCUGAGCAAGAAGAAAGGGCACCUCAAUCACUGGCCUUCCAAGACGACAAGGAGGAAAAGGAUGCUCAGAUACAGGAUGCUCAGAUGCCUGCUGGGAAUCAUGAAGUCUCUCCAAUCAUACUCAUCCUGAGAAGAG
rnacentral:lncRNA from 1 species